AGUAAAUUGGUUAAGUUAGAAAGGGCGCACGGUGGAUGCCUUGGCACUAGGAGCCGAAGAAGGACGGGACUAA
rnacentral:rRNA from 1 species